UACAGAGGGUGCGAGCGUUGUUCGGAAUUAUUGGGCGUAAAGGGCGCGUAGGCGGUGCGGUAAGUCACCUGUGAAUCUCCCGGCUCAACUGGGAGGGUGCGCCGAAUACUGAAUGACUUGGAGUGCGGGAGAGGAGAGUGGAAUUCCUGGUGUAGCGGUGAAAUGCGUAGAUAUCAGGAGGAACACCGGUGGUGUAGACGGCUCUCUGGACAUAACUGACGCUGAGGCACGAAAGCGUGGGUAGCAAACAGG
rnacentral:rRNA from 1 species